UGCACUCGAGGAUGAGUUCGCGCAACAUUAGCUUGUUGGUGAGAUAAAAGCUCACCAAGGCUACGAUGUUUAGCCGGCCUGAGAGGGUGAACGGCCACACUGGAACUGAGACACGGUCCAGACUCCUACGGGAGGCAGCAGUGGGGAAUCUUGCACAAUGGGGGAAACCCUGAUGCAGCGAUGCCGCGUGAGUGAAGAAGGCCUUUGGGUUGUAAAGCUCUUUCGUCGGGGAAGAAAAUGACUGUACCCGAAUAAGAAGGUCCGGCUAACUUCGUGCCAGCAGCCGCGGUAAUACGAAGGGACCUAGCGUAGUUCGGAAUUACUGGGCUUAAAGAGCUCGUAGGUGGUUAGAAAAGUUAAUGGUGAAAUCCCAAGGCUUAACCUUGGAACUGCCAUUAAAACUUUUUAACUAGAGUAUGAUAGAGGUAAGCGGAAUUUCUAGUGUAGAGGUGAAAUUCGUAGAUAUUAGAAAGAACACCAAUUGCGAAGGCAGCUUUCUGGAUCAUUACUGACACUGAGGAGCGAAAGCAUGGGUAGCGAAGAGGAUUAGAUACCCUCGUAGUCCAUGCCGUAAACGAUGUGUGCUAGACGUUGGAAAUUUAUUUUUCAGUGUCGCAGCAAAAGCGUUAAGCACACCGCCUGGGGAGUACGACCGCAAGGUUAAAACUCAAAUGAAUUGACGGGGACCCGCACAAGUAGUGGAGCAUGUGGUUUAAUUCGAAGAUACGCGCAGAACCUUACCAACACUUGACAUGUUCGUCGCGACUCUAAGAGAUUAGAGUCUUCGGUUCGGCCGGACGAAACACAGGUGCUGCAUGGCUGUCGUCAGCUCGUGUCGUGAGAUGUUGGGUUAAGUCCCGCAACGAGCGCAACCCUUACUUUUAGUUGCCAUCAUUUAGUUGGGCACUCUAAAAGAACUGCCAGUGAUAAGCUGGAGGAAGGUGGGGAUGACGUCAAGUCCUCAUGGCCCUUACGUGUUGGGCUACACACGUGCUACAAUGGUACUUACAAUGAGAUGCAAAGAGGCGACUCUAAGCUAAUCCCAAAAAGGUACCUCAGUUCGGAUUGUACUCUGCAACUCGAGUACAUGAAGCUGGAAUUACUAGUAAUCGUGGAUCAGCGCGCCACGGUGAAUACGUUCCCGGGUCUUGUACACACCGCCCGUCACACCAUGGAAGUUGGUUACACCUUAAGGCAAAGCUUAAAACCUUUGACUACGGUACGAUCAGCGACUGGGGUGAAGUCGUAACAAGGUAACC
rnacentral:rRNA from 1 species